GUGGACGCCAGUCUGCAUGGAGCCGACCUUGAAAUACCACCCUUUAAUGUUUGAUGUUCUAACGUGGACCCGUAAUCCGGGUUGCGGACAGUGUCUGGUGGGUAGUUUGACUGGGGCGGUCUCCUCCUAAAGAGUAACGGAGGAGCACGAAGGUUGGCUAAUCCUGGUCGGACAUCAGGAGGUUAGUGCAAUGGCAUAAGCCAGCUUGACUGCGAGCGUGACGGCGCGAGCAGGUGCGAAAGCAGGUCAUAGUGAUCCGGUGGUUCUGAAUGGAAGGGCCAUCGCUCAACGGAUAAAAGGUACUCCGGGGAUAACAGGCUGAUACCGCCCAAGAGUUCAUAUCGACGGCGGUGUUUGGCACCUCGAUGUCGGCUCAUCACAUCCUGGGGCUGAAGUAGGUCCCAAGGGUAUGGCUGUUCGCCAUUUAAAGUGGUACGCGAGCUGGGUUUAGAACGUCGUGAGACAGUUCGGUCCCUAUCUGCCGUGGGCGCUGGAGAACUGAGGGGGGCUGCUCCUAGUACGAGAGGACCGGAGUGGACGCAUCACUGGUGUUCGGGUUGUCAUGCCAAUGGCACUGCCCGGUAGCUAAAUGCGGAAGAGAUAAGUGCUGAAAGCAUCUAAGCACGAAACUUGCCCCGAGAUGAGUUCUCCCUGAGACUUAGAGUCUCCUGA
rnacentral:rRNA from 2 species